AGAAAUAUAAGCUAAACAAGCUAUUGGAUUCAUAAUUCAAAUAUAGAAUUUAUUCUUGUUUCUA
rnacentral:tRNA from 1 species